GGAAAACUGGAGGAAAAUGCAGUUAUUUCAGUUAUAAGAUAGUGAUAUGUAGCCCUUUGAUAGUAGUCCAAGUGCCACUUUAAUCAAGGGUGGAGAGUGAUUAAAAAAAUAGUUAGAUUAUAUGUUAGUUUGAGUGAAGGAUUUGGGAGAAUUUGUGUUAGUUUUGGCCUAAGUUUAGUUGAAAAGAGGGAUAAAAGUGUGUUUUGUUUAGGAGUUAGUUAGGGCUUAAACUUGAUUUGGAAGUAUUUUUGAAAUGAGAGGGCAAUUAGGUAAUUUUGUUAGGACACGUGGCAGUUGGUAGUUAGGAGUUUGUUUCAAGUUUGUUAUAAGCCUGUAUUGUGAACUAUAACUGUUAGGCUCUUGAAGUUUGUUGAAUGGAAGUUUAUAGGUAUUUAAACGUUGGUUAUACUUUGUUGAAUUGAAACUUUAAGUUAGAGGUGAGGUUAGUAACUAACUUUAGUUACUUAGCAAAAUAGGUAGUUAGUAGUUGAAGUUUGGGUUAGUGAUUAAGGUAGUGUCAUGACAGUUGGGGUUUGAGUUUCCUAGCAUGAUUAGAGUUUGAUAUAUGGAUAUGUGAGUGUUGAGUUCAUGGUAUGUUUGUUUGAAUUUUGUCCAUAGUGAUUUAAUUGUGUUAUGAUGAUGUAUGUGGUUUCUUGGAUUGCUUAGUACAAUGAAUGCAUUACAUCAUGUUAGAUCUCUUCUGUACUACUGCAGCAUGAUGAUGUGUUAUUUGUGAUAAGAUGAAUGCUUGUAACAUUUAGUGCAUUGUCGUGGUUCUUGUAGUGUUUAGGUAUUGUAUGUGCUAGAAUUAUUUUGAGGUUGAAUGGCUUAGAUUUCAAAAUGCUUGCAUCAUAGCUUGUGUCCUAUUGGCAUAUAUUGCUAUCUAGUUUAUUGUGGGAUGUAGAAAUAUGUUAUGCUUUGAUGUGUGUGUGGAUUGGAUCAUAAUUAGGGUUUUGUAGUUCUUUUGACAUUGUGGUAUGCUUUAAAUUAUUUUGUAUAUGUAUGCAUUAAAUGGGAUGCUUGUUAUGAUGUGAAUUUGUCCUUAUAAUGUGGUAAUAUUGUUUUGGC
rnacentral:lncRNA from 1 species